rnacentral:rRNA from 1 species
GACGAACGCUGGCGGCGUGCUUAACACAUGCAAGUCGAACGGAAAGGCGCUGCUUUUGCGGGUUGCUCGAUUGGCGAACGGGGGUGUAAAACGCGAGUAACCUGCCCCUGAAUUUGGGAUAACUUCAGGAAAAUGGGGCUAAUAUCGGAUAGGAGCUCCUGCUGCAUGGUGGGGGUAGGAAAGAUUCGGUGGUGGGGGAUGGUCUGGAGGCUUAUCAGCUUGUUAGGGAGGUAGUGAAUGACCAAGGUUUCGACGGGUAGCCGGCAUGGGAGGGUGACCGGCCACAUGGGUACUGAGAUACGGCCCAGACUCCAACGGGAGGCAGCAGUGGAGAAUAUGGCACAAUGGGCGGAAGCCUGAUGCAGCAACGCCGCGUGCGGGAUGACGGCCUUCGGGUUGUAAACCGCUUUCGCCUGUGACGAAGCGUUAGUGACGGUAAUGGGUAAAGAAGCACCGGCUAACUACGUG